GGAAGAGUGUCGUGUCCCGGUGGUCCGGCCAGACUUCAAAUCUGGUAGGGGUUGCAAGCAAUCCCUGGUGGGUUCGACUCCCAUACUCUUCCGCCA
rnacentral:tRNA from 2 species